ensembl:snRNA U7 U7 small nuclear RNA
CCAUGUAAAAAAAUCUUUUAGAAUUUGUCUAGCAGGUUUUCCAGUAUUCACCAGAAAGCCCUC